CCGCGUGAGCGAUGAAGGUCUUCGGAUUGUAAAGCUCUGUUGUUAGGGAAGAACAAGUACAAGAGUAACUGCUUGUACCUUGACGGUACCUAACCAGAAAGCCACGGCUAACUACGUGCCAGCAGCCGCGGUAAUACGUAGGUGGCAAGCGUUGUCCGGAAUUAUUGGGCGUAAAGCGCGCGCAGGCGGUCCUUUAAGUCUGAUGUGAAAGCCCACGGCUUAACCGUGGAGGGUCAUUGGAAACUGGGGGACUUGAGUACAGAAGAGGAGAGUGGAAUUCCACGUGUAGCGGUGAAAUGCGUAGAGAUGUGGAGGAACACCAGUGGCGAAGGCGACUCUCUGGUCUGUAACUGACGCUGAGGCGCGAAAGCAUGGGUAGCGAACAGGAUUAGAUACCCUGGUAGUCCAUGCCGUAAACGAUGAGUGCUAGGUGUUAGGGGGUUUCCGCCCCUUAGUGCUGAAGUUAACGCAUUAAGCACUCCGCCUGGGGAGUACGGCCGCAAGGCUGAAACUCAAAAGAAUUGACGGGGGCCCGCACAAGCGGUGGAGCAUGUGGUUUAAUUCGAAGCAACGCGAAGAACCUUACCAGGUCUUGACAUCCUCUGACAACCCUAAAGAUAGGGCUUUCCCUUCGGGGACAGAGUGACAGGUGGUGCAUGGUUGUCGUCAGCUCGUGUCGUGAGAUGUUGGGUUAAGUCCCGCAACGAGCGCAACCCUUGAU
rnacentral:rRNA from 1 species